rnacentral:rRNA from 1 species
UUACACAUGCAGUCGAGCGAGAAGACUUUGACAGAUCCUUCGGGUGAUGGAAAAGUUGGAAAGCGGCGGACGGGUGAGUAACGCGUGGGCAACCUGCCCCAUACAGGAGGAUAGCCACUGGAAACGGUGAUUAAUACUCCACAAGACCACAGCACCAUAUGGUGCAGAGGUAAAAACUCCGGUGGUAUGGGAUGGGCCCGCGUCUGAUUAGCUAGUUGGUAAGGUAACGGCUUACCAAGGCGACGAUCAGUAGCCGACCUGAGAGGGUGAUCGGCCACACUGGAACUGAGACACGGUCCAGACUCCUACGGGAGGCAGCAGUGGGGAAUAUUGCACAAUGGGCGAAAGCCUGAUGCAGCAACGCCGCGUGAACGAUGAAGGCCUUCGGGUUGUAAAGCUCUUUUCUUGGAGAAGAAUAAAUGACGGUAUCCAAGGAAUAAGCCCCGGCUAACUACGUGCCAGCAGCCGCGGUAAUACGUAGGGGGCAAGCGUUAUCCGGAAUCACUGGGCGUAAAGGGAGUGUAGGCGGUCAAGCAAGUCAGAGGUGAAAGGCAUCGGCUCAACCGGUGUAAGCCUUUGAAACUGUUUGACUUGAGUGCAGGANAGUAAGUGGANUUCCUAGUGUAGCGGUGAAUGCGUANAUNUUAGGAGGAACCCCGUGGCGANGCGAUUACUGGACUGUACUGAC